rnacentral:rRNA from 1 species
UUUGACCUCAAAUCAGGUAGGAAUACCCGCUGAACUUAAGCAUAUCAAUAAGCGGAGGAAAAGAAACCAACCGGGAUUGCCUCAGUAACGGCGAGUGAAGCGGCAAAAGCUCAAAUUUGAAAUCUGGCGUCUUCGGCGUCCGAGUUGUAAUUUGAAGAAGGUAACUUUGGGGCUGGUCCUUGUCUAUGUUCCUUGGAACAGGACGUCAUAGAGGGUGAGAAUCCCGUGUGGCGAGGAUCCCAGUCCUUUGUAAAGUGCUUUCGACGAGUCGAGUUGUUUGGGAAUGCAGCUCUAAGUGGGUGGUAAAUUCCAUCUAAAGCUAAAUAUUGGCGAGAGACCGAUAGCGAACAAGUACAGUGAUGGAAAGAUGAAAAGAACUUUGAAAAGAGAGUGAAAAAGUACGUGAAAUUGUUGAAAGGGAAGGGCAUUUGAUCAGACAUGGCGUUUGCUUCGGCUUUCGCUGGGCCAGCAUCAGUUUUGGCGGUUGGAUAAAUCCUCGGGAAUGUGGCUCUACUUGUAGAGUGUUAUAGCCCGUGGGAAUACAGCCAGCUGGGACUGAGGACUGCGACUUUUGUCAAGGAUGCUGGCGUAAUGGUUAUAUGCCGCCCGUCUUGAAACACGGACCAAGGAGUCUAACGUCUAUGCGAGUGUUUGGG